GGAGUCAGUGUGUAAAGGUGUGCAGAAGAAGGUAUCCUUUAGUUCCAGAACUGUGAACCAUUUAGUCCCCUCAGAUGGAGUUUCACUGUGUCACCAGGCUGGAGUGCAGUGGUGAAAUCUCGGUUCACUGCAACCUCCACCUCCCAGGUUCAAGCGAUUCUCCUGCCUCAGCCUCCUGAGUAGCUGGGACUACAGCUUCCUUGUGUGUCCGCAAGCUCCUCUGUAAGAUGGCUGUCAUUGAAUUUACACAACUUCCUAACUGGAAUAGAUAAUCAUUAUCAAGGGACAGUGGAUGAUGGGCAACCUAACGAUCCAGUGUGUUGUGCAACAUUUCACCUCACCUGACAAUGAAAUCCAAAACCACUUGGAAUGGAAAUGACAUAUAUGUUAAUGAAGACAGAUAAUGUAUGUCAGUAGACACAAAUGAAAGAAGAAAGCCUGGAUUAUAAAAGUUCUCCAGGUUGGGCAAUAGAUAGGCACUGCUACAUAGGCAUUGAAGAAAGCAUUUGGAACUAUGCUCCUUCUGGUAAAAAUAUGCUCAAUGAAAAGCCUUUUUCUGAAGACCUAGAAUUUCUACAAGGAGG
ensembl:lncRNA novel transcript